rnacentral:rRNA from 1 species
AUUGAACGCUGGCGGCAGGCUUAACACAUGCAAGUCGAGCGAGCGGCGGACGGGUGAGUAAUGUCUGGGCAACUGCCUGAUGGAGGGGGAUAACUACUGGAAACGGUAGCUAAUACCGCAUACAAUCAGUUCUGCACAGAUGGGCGUCGCUAGUUGGUGGGGGAAUGGCUCACCUAUGCGACGAUCCCUAGCUGGUCGGAGCGGAUGACCAGCCACACUGGAACGGAUACACGGUCCAGACUCCUACGGGAGGCAACAGUGGGGAAUAUUGCACAAUGGGCGCAAGCCUGAUGCAGCCAUGCCGCGUGUGUGAAGAAGGCCUUCGGGUUGUAAAGCACUUUCAGCGAGGAGGCGUUACUCGCAGAAGAAGCACCGGCUAACUCCGUGCCAGCAGCCGCGGUAAUUC